rnacentral:SRP_RNA from 1 species
CAGUGGGCCCUGUGCGGCGGGUUGCCGUGAACCAUGUCAGGCGGGGAACCGAGCAGCAUUAAGCGGAUUUACCUGUGCGCCGCAGGUUUUCCUGCUGUU